UGGGUCAUCAUCAAACUGUCAAAAGUCAAAGUGCUGAGGCGACUGAUAAUACCUUCUUUCUUUUUCUGUGGAGACGCUGUCCGAAAAGGAUGAAUUUAGUCAUUGCUGGGUCCUUUCUUACGUGACAUUUCUGAUCCUAGACAUGGAUUCCUUGGUUAGUUUAAAUGUUGGAGCUGCUAAUGGUGUUGAUGAAGUGUUCAUGGUGUGAGCAGUUUUGCAGUCAUUUUCCAGUUGAGAUGUCUUGAAAUGGAGCUUGUGCAGACAUUCAGUUCAACAUCAUACUUCAAUGUGUUAUUUGCCCAUGUUGAUGUUUUUUUGUUGAGCUGUUGUGCAAAAUAGUCGGUGUUGCCUGGUGGCUGUUGGGCAUGUUUUAUCGGCUGCCUUUUGUCGAUGUGGCGUCUCGUCUCUUGCCACCUGCACACACGUUAAGUUUAAUCGUUUGCUGCCAUCGACUUGAUCCAUUGGUGAAACUGAGAAGAGUUGCAGAAAUUGAAGACUGAUACAAUAAUAGAUUUAGACAAAUUAAAAAGGCAUGCAUGUUCUCCCUUUUCCCUAAGUAAACUGUUUCCGCCGUUGGUUAUUCGUCUGGUCGAACGGAAAAUAGCAAUGAAAAUGAUCUGAUGUAUUCCCUUAUGAUUCGCAAUCCUACCUCCUUUAUAUAACCGUCUUAACUUAUUUGCUCUUCAUAUAUGACCAUUAUCAAUAUUAUUACUUCGCUUACAAUAAAAUAUGAAACACA